GCGUAGAUAUAUGGAGGAACACCAGUGGCGAAAGCGGCUCUCUGGUCUGUCACUGACGCUGAGGCUCGAAAGCGUGGGUAGCGAACAGGAUUAGAUACCCUGGUAGUNCACGCCGUAAACGAUGAGUGCUAGGUGUUAGGCCCUUUCCGGGGCUUAGUGCCGGAGCUAACGCAAUAAGCACUCCGCCUGGGGAGUACGACCGCAAGGUUGAAACUCAAAGGAAUUGACGGGGGCCCGCACAAGCGGUGGAGCAUGUGGUUUAAUUCGAAGCAACGCGAAGAACCUUACCAGGUCUUGACAUCCCGAUGCUAUUCUUAGAGAUAGGAAGUUACUUCGGUACAUCGGAGACAGGUGGUGCAUGGUUGUCGUCGGCUCGUGUCGUGAGAUGUUGGGUUAAGUCCCGCAACGAGCGCAACCCUUAUUGUUAGUUGCCAUCAUUAAGUUGGGCACUCUAGCGAGACUGCCGGUAAUAAACCGGAGGAAGGUGGGGAUGACGUCAAAUCAUCAUGCCCCUUAUGACCUGGGCUACACACGUGCUACAAUGGUCGGUACAACGAGUUGCGAGCCGGUGACGGCAAGCUAAUCUCUGAAAGCCGAUCUCAGUUCGGAUUGGAGGCUGCAACUCGCCUCCAUGAAGUCGGAAUCGCUAGUAAUCGCGGAUCAGCACGCCGCGGUGAAUACGUUCCCGGGCCUUGUACACACCGCCCGUCACACCACGAGAGUUUGUAACACCCGAAGUCGGUGAGGUAACCUUUUAGGGNCCAGCCGC
rnacentral:rRNA from 1 species